AACGAACGCUGGCGGCAUGCCUAACACAUGCAAGUCGAACGAGACCUUCGGGUCUAGUGGCGCAAGGGUGCGUAACGCGUGGGAACCUGCCCUUAGGUUCGGAAUAACUCCCCGAAAGGGGUGCUAAUACCGGAUAAUGUCUUCGGACCAAAGAUUUAUCGCCUUUGGAUGGGCCCGCGUUGGAUUAGCUAGUUGGUAGGGUAAAAGCCUACCAAGGCGACGAUCCAUAGCUGGUCUGAGAGGAUGAUCAGCCACACUGGGACUGAGACACGGCCCAGACUCCUACGGGGGCAGCAGUGGGGAAUAUUGGACAAUGGGCGAAAGCCUGAUCCAGCAAUGCCGCGUGAGUGAUGAAGGCCUUAGGGUUGUAAAGCUCUUUUACCCGGGAUGAUAAUGACAGUACCGGGAGAAUAAGCUCCGGCUAACUCCGUG
rnacentral:rRNA from 1 species